UCUCUGAGAUGUCUGAACUAGAUUCACUGAAGAACAAGCCUUUGAAAAUGAGCACCAGUGAGAUAAUGAAUUGUGCUUUGGAAAGGUUUAUACUUGCUAUGUUCCCCACCUCCUAACACUAAAGGAAGAAAGAAUAAUUGCACUGCACCAACAAGUUUUCUACAGGAACUGACUGAAAUGCAGAAUGAGCCCGAUCUU